GUGCUCGCUUCAGGAGCACAUAUACUAAAAUUGGAAUGAUACAGAGAAGAUUAGCGUGGCCCCUGUGCAAGGAUGACACACAAAUUUAUGAAGCAGUCCAUAUUUAA
ensembl:snRNA U6 U6 spliceosomal RNA